CCAACCAGAGUGGCCACAGACAGCUAGCUGCUUCCCAUCCCACCCCUCCCCUGCCCGCCCCCCACCAUCUGAGGGAUGUCAGGCCAAGCCCUGGAGGAGUGUGACCUUGGCCUGGGGCCAUCAGCACGUGCCUUUCCUCUGCUUGGAACAUUCUUCCUAAGACUCCUCCCUCUGCCAUUAGUCUGGUUCUCUGUUCACAUCCUCCAGAAUCUUCCUGGACCCCACAGACAAGGUGGGGCCGCAGAGUCGGUGCUUUACACCUGCUCCGUACCCACAGAAUUCCAAUCCUGGCCCACCCUUCCCUGCCGGCUGACUUUGGGUGCUGGGAACAUAGCAGCCCGGACAGUGGAUGGAAACCCAUGCCCUCAUAGAGCUCGCGUCCCAGAAAGGGCAGCAAACAAUAAGCUGGUAAGACUUAAUUUAGCAUGUGGGGAUGGUGCCGAGGAGACCACCGAAGAGAGGGAGAAGGGGCAGCUUUAAAUGCAGGUCCUGAAACGAAAGGGGCCCGUGUGAGCUGCCCCAACACGGCUGCUCUCACCUCAAGCGAUCCUGCCCCCCCAGGGGACACUGGGCCAUGUCUGGGGACAUCUCUGCUUGUCACAACUAGGGGUGAGGCUGACAUCGAGUGCGUGGGCCCAGGGAUGCUGCUCAAACCCCACAGCGCCCAGGACACCCCCCCAGAGAACAGCCUGGGCCCAGUGUCAGCAGUGCCGAUGGGGAGAGACUCUGCUCCAACAUUAUUCUGACCAAUUAGUUCCCCUAGAAUCCUGCCAGGGCGGGGACUCCAUCCGGCCACCUGCACCCUUGGAGGUGAUGCAGCGAGAGGCAGCCAGGCCGGGCUGAGACAGGCCCUGGGGAUGAAACGACAGGCGUGUGCGCCCAUCCACAUGGCACUCAGAGCUGGAGAGGUAGUGCCGGCCCCCCACACACUACAGCCUCUGUCACCCGCCUGGGGCUGCUAGCUCUUUGCAGAGUCACCUCUUCUGGCCACAGAAGUUCCCCGGAGUCGACGCUGAGAUCAAGGACUCGAGUGCAUGUUGAUGAUUUGAGAGGCGCAGAGAAGAGCCUGGCAUGGGGGAAGGUGGGAGACGGAGAGACAGGCGUGCUCUGCCACCAGUGGCCGCAGUGGGACCCCCACCCGUGCACAGGCGCUGGGGAUAUGCAACCGCAGAGCUCAGCUUGAGCCCACCAGGGAUCAGAAGGGCUGGGUGCCCGGAGAGGUGAGUGUGCUUCGUGCCCUGACGUGCACUUAGACAUGGCUAAGACGGUAACUACACUUACGUUGGUGAGAUUUCAUAAUGUAUAUAAUUUUCAAAUCACCUGUACACCUGAAACUAACACUAUAGCAUGUUAACUAUGCUUCAAUAAAAAAAUAACAUUUACCAUCUGAA